rnacentral:rRNA from 1 species
ACUCCUACGGGAGGCAGCAGUGGGGAAUAUUGCACAAUGGGGGAAACCCUGAUGCAGCCAUGCCGCGUGUGUGAAGAAGGCCUUGGGUUGUAAAGCACUUUCAGUAGGGAGGAAGGUAGUGUAGUUAACACCUGCACUAUUUGACGUUACCUACAGAAGAAGCACCGGCUAACUCCGUGCCAGCAGCCGCGGUAAUACGGAGGGUGCGAGCGUUAAUCGGAAUUACUGGGCGUAAAGCGCAUGCAGGCGGCCUGUUAAGUCAGAUGUGAAAGCCCGGGGCUUAACCUCGGAAUUGCAUUUGAAACUGGCAGGCUAGAGUCUUGUAGAGGGGUUAGAAUUUCAGGUGUAGCGGUGAAAUGCGUAGAGAUCUGAAGGAAUACCAGUGGCGAAGGCGGCCCCCUGGACAAAGACUGACGCUCAGAUGCGAAAGCGUGGGAGCAAACAGGAUUAGAUACCCCUGGUAGCGACUGA